UCUGCAUUUGAAAGAACACCCACGAGGAUCCUGGCCAUCAUGCACAGUUGGAGACUAGCCCCACAAAGUGCUCCCAAUUCAUUUUGUAAUUCUCUAUAAUUGGAAUGAAACUAUUCCCUUUUACCAGCUUGCCACCCUUGGGAGGGAGUGAGCACAGCCCUGCACUUGGCCACCACGGAGGGUUUUGGGUGCUAAUUUAUGAAAUGACUGAUAUGUCCAAAACGAGCCCAGGUGUCCUGAUCCCCAGGUCCACACUUGCUCCUCUCACAUCAUGGUUUAUCCCCACAGACCACUGAAUGCUUCUUGAGAACCUUUCCUGCUUCAACUUUGCCAAAAAAAUCAUAUGCUAACUAAAAACCUCAUGGACUCACCUAGGAAGAUAUUGGGAAGAAUGGGACUUCAAGAGAAUGAGUAGCUGUAAGGAAAGUCAGAAAAUGUGACCCUUUGAAAGCGAAGUGAGUGCAAUCCACACCACCAAAGGGAUGAGUCAGCCCCUGCUGCCGCCGGUGGGGCCUCUCAAGAGUGUCACCUGUCUCCCGCAACACCCAUCAAGGAGUUAAAACAAGCUCUGGAAAAGAGCUCUGGAAUGUAACAGUUAAUAAGGUGACAUGGGAUGAGAACCUGGGUUCUAGAGUUGAACCUGACAUUGAGUCCUAAUUUUGCCAUAUACCAGCCUUGGAUAUCUCUCAGCCUCAGUUUCCUUCUCCAUUUUAUAAUGGAUCCAAUAUCCCUCUGUGCAAGCUUGGGAGAAUCAGCAAUAAUGUUUGAAAACUGCCUGCUACAUGGCAGCGCCACGUCAGAACUCAUGAGAAAGCCAGGCUUGGAAAUCCAUACUGGCCUCGUCUCUGAUCUACAUCCAGAUCUGUGCCUCAUCCCGCCCCCCGCCCUCAAUACCUCUAGACCUCAAUCUUAUUCCAUAUGCAGUCCUAAGAACUCUUGAUGUAGAAGUGGAUUAAAUUUAUCAUGCUGGGGACUUGCCUGGUGGUCAAGUAGCUAAGACUCCAUGCUCCCAAUACAGAGGGCCCAGCUUCAAUUCCUGCUCAAGGAAUUAGAUCUCACAUGCCGCAACUAAAGAUCCCACAUGCCACAACUAAGACCCAGUACAUGUGUGUGUGGU